rnacentral:rRNA from 1 species
AACGAACGCUGGCGGCAUGCCUAACACAUGCAAGUCGAACGAGACCUUCGGGUCUAGUGGCGCACGGGUGCGUAACGCGUGGGAACCUGCCCUUAGGUUCGGAAUAACUCCCCGAAAGGGGUGCUAAUACCGGAUAAUGUCUUCGGACCAAAGAUUUAUCGCCUUUGGAUGGGCCCGCGUUGGAUUAGCUAGUUGGUAGGGUACAAGCCUACCAAGGCGACGAUCCAUAGCUGGUCUGAGAGGAUGAUCAGCCACACUGGGACUGAGACACGGCCCAGACUCCGACGGGAGGCAGCAGUGGGGAAUAUUGGACAAUGAGCGAAAGCCUGGUCCAGCAAUGCCGCGUGAGUGAUGAAGGCCUUAGGAUUGUAAAGCUCUUUGACCCGGGAUGAUAAUGACAGUACCGGGAGAAUAAGCUCCGGCUAACUCCGUG